GAUUAACGCUGGCGGCGUGCAUAACACAUGCAAGUCGAACGAUGAAACUUUAAUGAACCCUUCGGGGAGAAUUAAAGCGGAUUAGUGGCGAACGGGUGAGUAACGCGUGAGUAACCUGCCUUACACAAGGGGAUAGCCUUUGGAAACGAAGAAUAAUACCCUAUAAAACCAUAAAAGCACAUGCAAUUAUGGUCAAAGUGAUAGCGGUGUAAGAUGGACUUGCGUCUGAUUAGCUAGUUGGUGUGAUAAAAGCCCACCAAGGCAACGAUCAGUAGCCGGCUUGAGAGAGUGUACGGCCACAUUGGGACUGAGACACGGCCCAGACUCCUACGGGAGGCAGCAGUGGGGAAUUUUGCACAAUGGGGGAAACCCUGAUGCAGCGACGCCGCGUGAUUUAGAAGGCCUUCGGGUUGUAAAAAUCUUUUGUAUAGGAAGAAAAUGACAGUACUAUACGAAUAAGGUCCGGCUAAUUACGUG
rnacentral:rRNA from 1 species